UACGGAGGGUGCAAGCGUUACUCGGAAUCACUGGGCGUAAAGCGCGCGCAGGCGGCUAUUUAAGUUGGAUGUGAAAGCCUACGGCUCAACCGUAGAACUGCAUCCAAAACUAUUUAGCUAGAGUGUGGGAGAGGAAGAUGGAAUUAGUUGUGUAGGGGUAAAAUCCGUAGAGAUAACUAGGAAUACCAAAAGCGAAGGCAAUCUUCUGGAACACUACUGACGCUGAGGCGCGAAAGCGUGGGGAGCAAACAGGAUUAGAAACCCUAGUAGUCC
rnacentral:rRNA from 1 species